rnacentral:rRNA from 1 species
UACGGGGGGGGUAAGCGUUGUUCGGAAUUACUGGGCGUAAAGGGCUCGUAGGCGGCCAACUAAGUCGGACGUGAAAUCCCUCAGCUUAACUGGGGAACUGCGUCCGAUACUGGAUGGCUUGGAUUCGGGAGAGGGAUGCGGAAUUCCAGGUGUAGCGGUGAAAUGCGUAGAUAUCGGUAGGAACACCAGUGGCGAAGGCGGUCUCCUGGGACGUUCUUGACGCUGAGGCGCGAAAGCUGGGGGAGCGAACGGG